ensembl:snoRNA
UGGGCCCUUGGUGAUGACAAGAGGCACAGGAGUCAUACAUGGUAAAUACAUUGUGUCUGGAACUGUGAUUCCAU